rnacentral:lncRNA from 1 species
GUGGGUGACAGAAAACUACAAUUCCUAGGAGGCCCAGCGGCGCAGCUCUCGCUGUGCGGCGGGAGUGAGCUUGGAGGCCCCGCCUUCUUCGGCUAGUAGAGAGGCAGCUUUCCGGCGGGUUGGUACUGAGGUGAACUUUAGCGGGGAGCUUUGUCGGCGCUGAAGGAGCCUUAGAGUGGUUUUCACAUUUUCCUGUGAGACGCCACGCCACUGCCAAAUGCACCUGUCGUAGUUAAACUCCUACCUUUAAUGUAAUGUUUGAGGCCUACUCAAUAUCCAAAAAACAUUUUCUUAAAAUGGCUUCUGUUACUCCGGUGUAUGUACGCUAUUGCCCAUAGAUUUCUAGAAGAUUCCGAUGAAUAUCUUGUCAUUUUUUUUUCAUACUGAAGUGAGUUCAACGUAGUGUUGAUUGGUAGUUAGUUGGCUAUUCCUGAAACUACAGUCUGCCUGAGCCUUCUGGACCACUUUCCGCAGGGCUCUGUGGUGAGGUCGGAGCGCGCCUCGCCUGUGAUGCUGCUCUUGGACAGGCUUUGUACCGUUGGCCUUCGCCAGUACUGGAGAUUGAAUCCAUCCACUUCACCACUGAGACACAUCCUCAGCCUUUUUUAAAUUUUAGAAAAAAUUUAAAAUUUUUAUUACUUUGAGACAAAGUCUUGCUAAGUUGCCCAGACUGGCCUCCAAUUUGUGAUCCUCCUGCCUCAACCUCCUAACCUGGGAUUUCAAGCCACCAUUCCAUGCUGAAAAAUUGUUGGAACAUGGAUGACUAUCUUCAAGUUACUGUAACACAAAAUCUCAAGCCAAAAAGUAACAUAGGAAUAAUACAGACUGGAUCAUUUGAUUAGAUUUUACUGAGUUUGAUAUUCAGAAGAGUAUAGGUCAAAGAAAUAAAACAUUUUCAGUGCUCUGGAUAUCUCUUCACCCAAUUACUACCAUCCUUUUUUCCCCAAAGGGGAUCGAACUCGGGACCUUGUGCUUGCGAGGCCGGUGCCGGAACCACUGAGCUAAAUCCCAGCUAAAUCCCCGAGCCUAUAAUUAUGGAAAAAUACACCAUUUGAUGAACAAUGAAAGCAAAUAUAUCACUAAUAAAUACUAUUUGAAGGAUUUUUUUUUUGUGCAAAAGUUAUUCUGGGAAAGGAAGAUGGUAUCUGAAAAGUAGUAAAACGUUUCCAGAGCCAUUUUAACUAGCUCUCACUCCAUAGUUCAGGCUGGCCUUGAACUCACUUUGUGGCCCAGGCUGGCCUCAAACUUGUGGUGAUCCUCCUGCCUCAGCCACCCUGUGCUGGAAUUAUAGGUGUGUGCUACCAUGCCUGGCUUAAUUUUUGUUUAAUUCAAUCUUUGUUUAACUGUUUUAUUUGUUUAUUUGUUUGGCUUUUUGAGACAAUUACUUUCCUUCCUUCCUUCCUUCCUUCCUUCCUUCCUUCCUUCCUUCCUUCCUUCUUUUCUCUUCUCUCCUCUCCUCUCCCCUCCCCUCCCCUCUCCUCCC